AUGCUCAUUUGCUCCUUCCCUCAGGGACCUGGCUUCCUUCCCUACCAGCAGCCCCUCCUGCUGUUCCCUUGUGAGGCUCUCCAGAACAAUCUGACUCAUCCUCUGACUCAGGUUGCAUUUGCUCCUUGGAUCCACUCCUUUGUGUCCCCUCUGUGUGUUCAAGCUUUCCAAGAAGCCCACCGAACCCUAUCCCUCUUCCCUCCUAGAGCAUCCACAUUGGGGUUUGAAGAGGAAAUCUCACUAGGCUGAUGUUCUGUAAACCCUUGAUUCACUCAGGUCCUCUACUGGUAGGUGUAAGUGUAGAUUUCAACACACACACACACACACACACACACACACACACACACACUGGAAGAAUUUGGGCUUCUUCAGGGUUGGCAGAAAGAUAGAAAAACUGCUCUUAGCUUCCCUGAUCAGGGUAAAGGGGCUCAGGAUACUGUUGGAACCAGUUUGGGAAUCCACAUUUAAUUUACCUUUGGGGAAGC
rnacentral:lncRNA from 1 species